rnacentral:rRNA from 1 species
GAUGAACGCUAGCGGCAGGCUUAAUACAUGCAAGUCGAACGGGAUUCGGAGUAGCAAUACUUUGAUGAGAGUGGCGCACGGGUGCGUAACGCGUAUGCAACCUACCUUUAACAGGGGAAUAGCCCCGAGAAAUCGGGAUUAAUACUCCGUAACAUUGCGGUGUGGCAUCACACUGCAAUUAAAGAUUUAUCGGUUAAAGAUGGGCAUGCGUGACAUUAGCUUGUUGGUGAGGUAACGGCUCACCAAGGCAACGAUGUCUAGGGGUCCUGAGAGGGUUAUCCCCCACACUGGUACUGAGACACGGACCAGACUCCUACGGGAGGCAGCAGUAAGGAAUAUUGGUCAAUGGGCGCAAGCCUGAACCAGCCAUGCCGCGUGCAGGAAGACGGCCCUAUGGGUUGUAAACUGCUUUUAUCAGGGAAUAAACCCCCGCUCGUGAGCGGGGCUGAAGGUAC